rnacentral:rRNA from 1 species
GAUGAACGCUAGCGGCAGGCUUAAUACAUGCAAGUCGAGGGACAGCACAGGUAGCAAUACUGGGUGGUAACCGGCAAACGGGUGCGGAACACGUACACAACCUUCCUUUAAGUGGGGGAUAGCCCAGCGAAAUUUGGAUUAAUACCCCGUAAUAUAGUUGAAUGGCAUCAUUUGAUUAUUAUAGCUACGGCGCUUAAUGAUGGGUGUGCGGCUGAUUAGAUAGUUGGCGGGGUAACGGCCCACCAAGUCUACGAUCAGUAGCUGAUGUGAGAGCAUGAUCAGCCACACGGGCACUAGGACACGGGCCAGACUCCUACGGGAGGCAGCAGUAAGGAAUAUUGAUCGAUGGACGCAAGUCUGAACCAGCCAUGGCGCGUGAAGGAUGAAGGUCCUCUGGAUUGUAAACUUCUUUUAUUUGGGACGAAAAAGGGCCUUUCUAGGUCAACUGACGGUACCAGAUGAAUAAGCACCGGCUAACUCCGUGCCAGCAGCCGCCGUAA